AAGCGAAGGACCCAGCAGGGAAGCGAGUAAUGCUCAUGAAAUGAGGCUUCUCUAACAAUUUUUUAUUAACCUUCGUAGAGUUUAGUUUCCAAGAGAGCGUCGAUGUUCUAUUUGUUCUUCGUGGAUCGUCAUGUGUUCUUGGUGUAUAGUU
rfam:Arabis alpina cultivar Pajares chromosome 4, whole genome shotgun sequence.